rnacentral:rRNA from 1 species
UACGUAGGGGGCGAGCGUUGUCCGGAUUUAUUGGGCGUAAAGAGCGUGUAGGCGGCCAGGUAGGUCUGGUGUGAAAACUCGAGGCUCAACCUCGAGAUGUCAUCGGAAACCAUCUGGCUAGAGUCCGGAAGAGGAGAGUGGAAUUCCUGGUGUAGCGGUGAAAUGCGCAGAUAUCAGGAAGAACACCUAUGGCGAAGGCAGCUCUCUGGGACGGUACUGACGCUGAGACGCGAAAGCGUGGGGAGCGAACAGG